UCUCUCUCAGUAGUACCCACUUUAUUUUCUCCUUGUUUUCUCCCCAUAAAGAUUGAAUUUCCUGCAUGUCUGCCCAUAGGAAAGACAUCCCAUGUGCUCGUCCAUCCAUGUAGAGAGACCUUAGCAGCCACACAACCUGCACACACACCCAGAAUGAGUUGUCUGUACAAUUUUAUUUUCCACCUGCAGUUACAUUUACAAACUGUCCCAUACAAGUAAAGCAGUUUUCAAAGUGAACUCAACCAGAACUACAAAAAUUAUUCUCUUCUCUAUACAUGGCACCAGCUUCAGAAUUUGUCUAUACACAACUGCUGAUUAUGUUUAACAAAAAUUCACUAUUUUUUGGCUCCAAGGAUCUCCACAAAGGCAACUUGAUAAGUUUUAUCCCGUUGCAAUCAUAACAUUAAAGUUCUUGUUUUUGUUUUGCUUCCCUCUCCUUUCAUCUGAAGCUUUGCAUGGCUUUGUUUUGGAAUUCUAAUGAAGACAAAGCUACCACAAACCAGCAGUUUUAGAAACAGAGGAUAAAAAUGCUGAGCAAAACCAUCCAGCAACAUUUCAAGCAAUGUUUCACUUUAGAUGCGCCUGCUCAUCAGCAGAAAUAUUGAAAUUUUAGCUGGUUCCAGAAAAGCACAAACAAGUGAUUUAACAUGAAAUGAACUUUACAAACAGUCAACUUACAGAGACAAAACAAGGUCGGAGUGAGGAGCCAGAGCUGCUCACAGAAGAGAAAUGUUUUGGGGAGCCUGAAGGGAGGAAGAAUGAAACUCAAAUAUUGCUUUAAGAACAACUUUCAGCUUUAAGCAUUUCCAAAUGCCAUGAGAAAAAUGUAUUUAAAAUAUAACUUCAACCUUUCUGGAUGCAGCUCCCAGCCACGAGUGAAAGCAUUUCCCCAGGAGAGGGCAGGAGUUCUGUACACAGGAGGCAACAGGGCAAAAAUUCCCUGUCUCAAACACCUAUUUCUGCCUAAGCCUUUAGCACCACAGUCCCCCAGACAUAAACUUAAUUAUGUCAGUCAAACGUUUGUAUUUGUUAAUUCCUUUCAAGGGACAACACUGGAAAUCUGUGCUGGUUCUGGAGUUCACCAGCCUGGGAUAAGAUCAAAACUCCACAACAAUCAAUAA
rnacentral:lncRNA from 1 species